AAGAAGACCCUGAGGAGCAGCCUGGAUGGGCCCAUCGUCCUCGCCAUAGAGGACUUCCACAAGCAGUCCUUCUUCUUCACUCACCUGCUCAACAUCAGCGAAGCCCUGCAGCAGUGUUGUGACCUCUCCCAGCUCUGGUUCCGAGAAUUCUUCCUGGAGUUAACCAUGGGCCGACGCAUCCAGUUCCCUAUUGAGAUGUCCAUGCCCUGGAUUCUCACGGACCAUAUCCUGGAAACCAAAGAACCUUCCAUGAUGGAGUAUGUCCUCUACCCCUUGGAUCUCUACAACGACAGCGCCUACUAUGCUCUCACCAAGUUCAAAAAGCAGUUCCUCUACGAUGAGAUUGAAGCCGAGGCAAGUGACAUGCUGCCUUC